UUUUAUUGUGUUCAACCAAAAUUCUCAACCAAAUGGCCAGGCUUCGCAGUCCCUUUCCAGCUCCAUGACAUCUUCUUUUCUACUUUCUCUUGACCUCUGAAUUUGUCCAGUCUAGGUUACUUAUGUUUUCACAGGCUUUCAUAAGCAAUCACUGCACAUUUUCUAUACGAAAGUGGAGCAUCUGCAGAUGUACGAAUGAGUGCUAUGUCUGGAAACCAAACACCCUCAGCUCCUGAGGGAUGUCGUGUAACUCCUAAGCAAGCAACUGCACACAUCUCAAAGUGCUAGGACUGAAAAAACACAUUGCUACACUUAAUGAUGACCGCAUUUGAUGAGCCAAGUCUGGUGAUCUUUGCCUUCUUGAAAGUCAGCCAAGAAGGCCUGUUAUAGACAGGAUCAUUUCCAAAUUAUCACUACAGGCUCUGAUGAGAUGGCUAGACUGGAAAGUUCACAAACAGCCCUGACUCAGUAUUCUAUGCAAGCUUCUGCAGCACUCCCUGGGAUAUUCUCUCAGUAGGCACUUGAAAGAGAGAGGGAGCAGUACAUAAAGAAAUACUU